AGUCCUUCGCCGUCCCUCGCCGUCCUUCGCCAUCGCACGCCACCGCACCCCAUCUCUCGAAAUCUGCAGACAUCUUGAUUUUUCCCACGCUGUCUGUCAGGUCUCCGCCGCCACUCGACGCCAGGGCGCCGGGUGAGUCCACAGCAGGGCGCAUGGUCGGCUCCACUCUCACCAUCGGGGGAAACUGAGGCCCCGGGGAAGGCGGCCAGAGAGGUCAGGCCCUGUCCUUGGUGCAGUGUCUCGUCCUCUUUGCCGGAGUGAGCCCCCCAGGAUUCGCGUGUCCUCGGGAAAGACACUGGCAGGCCUUGUGGGCUGUGCUGCACCUCGGACGGCUUCGCACCAGCCAGCGCCCUCUCUCUCCUGCAGCACUCUGAUCUGCACCCCCUGAGGGGCUUCCACUGUCCGCGGGGUGAGAAUGCCCCUGGGAGUGUCACAUGACUGCCGCCCCAUGUGUGUGAGAGGCGUCCUCUGGGAGAGCAUGGAUCCUGAGGUCCCAGGAUUGUCAGCUGACCUCUGUCCUGUGUGCCCAGUGGCCCCAGGUGACGUGUCUUCAAGAAGAGGCUGAGCUGCGGUGCUUGUAAGGCAGGGUCUCAUUCUGUCACCCAGGCUGGAGUGCAGUGGUGCAAUGAUGGCUCACUGCAGCCUCGACCUGGGCUCAAGUGAUCCUCCACCUCAGCUUCCUGAGUAGCUGGGACCACAGAGUCAUGUGCUGUUCCUGGGGCUUGGAUGAUGUAGGGGAAGCAAGGUGAAAGUGGUAUCCCGUGGUUCCACGUUCUGUCCUGCUGUGGGGCUGUCCCUCACAUGCUUUCAGUGGCUGUUGCAGAGGAAGAGCCUCCGGAAAUCUGCGUGGGUAAAGUCUCAGCCUUAGAUCCAAGGACAGUCCAAGGAAGUCCUAAGACCAUGGAGUUGGUGAUCUGGGAUCUGGGUUUGCUGAUAUUUCUCACCGUGAAUCUCUUGGUGGUGUUUGUGGGCACGAGAGGGGCAGAGAAUGGAGAGUGAGGCUACCACAUGAAGCGUCACCAGAGCUGCUCCCUGCUGCCUGCUCAGAGCACCCCGGAUCCACUGUUCAAUCUGCACAAGAUUCGGGGUCCAGACAUGGGAGACUUCAGCUGCCUCAGAGGACCGUGGACAGGGAAGGCCAGCCUCGCAUCCCUCUGUCCAUGCCUGGAAUGACUUUAAUAACCAAGAGUUUUAUUUUUGAAUUUGUAGCUGUCGUUCACUUUUUACCCACCCAUUCAAUAAACCUUACAGAAUUGCUCCA
rnacentral:lncRNA from 1 species